UACGAAGGGGGCUAGCGUUGCUCGGAAUCACUGGGCGUAAAGGGUGCGUAGGCGGGUCUUUAAGUCAGGGGUGAAAUCCUGGAGCUCAACUCCAGAACUGCCUUUGAUACUGAGGAUCUUGAGUUCGGGAGAGGUGAGUGGAACUGCGAGUGUAGAGGUGAAAUUCGUAGAUAUUCGCAAGAACACCAGUGGCGAAGGCGGCCAACUGGUCCGAUACUGACGCUGAGGCGCGAAAGCGUGGGGAGCAAACAGG
rnacentral:rRNA from 1 species